rnacentral:rRNA from 1 species
AUAAUAAUUUGUCUUAUAAUUGAAGUCUGGAAUGAAUGGUUCAAUGAGAAGAAUUCUAUCCCCUUUUUAAAAAUUGAAUUUCAUGGUUAAGUAAAAAAGCUUAAAUAAGUUUUUAAGACGAUAAGACCCUAUAAAGCUUUACUUAUACUUGAUAAAACAUAAGUAUAUUUGAAUCACUUAAGUUAAGCUGGGGCGGCAAUUUAAUUAAACAUUUUUAGUUAAAACAUAUUGAAUGAAUUAAAGUAAUGAGGAUUUCCUAAUUUAAAAUCAAGUUACUUUAGGGAUAACAGCACAAUUAAAUCUAAGAGUUCUUAUCGAAGAAAAAGAUUGU